GCCCGACAUCCUUCUCGGCCGUCCUCCGGGUUUCUGGCAGCCACCGACACGACGGGAGGGCCCGUGACGGCCCGGCAACGGAGUUCCCGUCGCUCAAGUUCUAUAAAGGGCUGCUUGCAAACAACGUGCCGUGAGUCCCUGAAGAAUAAAACAGCACAAUGUGGAGAACCGGACGGCGCUGGACUUGAGUUUAAAGUAGUCUUUUUAAUUGUGCUGGAACCUUGUUCAGAGUUGGGCAAGUCUCAAUUUUUUUUUUUACACAAGAAAAAUCUAGACCGUGGAAUGAAGUUUCUUGGCGACGAGCCUCACUACACCUGUCCGGUUAACCCGGUUGAAUUUAGUGAGGUACAUCAAACUCCCUUUGACUCAAAGCUGAAUAAAUUGGUUCCACUGCAACCCUCCACAUGAGUCAGGGCAGGGGAGAGUUUUGCCUGAGGGCUAUGCUUAAGAACUUGGCAUGCAGUCAUGUGCCUUUGAAGAGGCCACAACAAGGUAUUUACCAUGUAUUUUCACAUAACCAGCCAGAAUGAAAGAGCUCAAGUGCAUCACAUUCAUAUAAUAGCUAGAUACAUACGUUGUUAUCAGCAUAAGCUACCAGUUCCAGCUAAAUGCUAGUGGCGUGCACCUUAUCUUUAUGCUUGUUAUGACUAUAUUUUCUCUCAGAUCCUUGGAAAAUAAGGAAAAUCUAAGCCUAGAAAUAGCAACUUUGCUGCUGAUGAUGAUCAGAACAAUGAGAAAAAAGCAAGACCUUUCCAUUUUAAAUGCAGCAGAGGAAAAAUCCUUAUUGCUUGAAAGCAACUAUUCACUAUUGCUUGAAAGUGAAAAGUCUACAUUGAUUUACUCAAAUCCCAUAAGAGUUCCCUGUAAUCUAAUUAAUUUCCUCUUUUAAAUUAUUGUACAGGAAAAUUAAAUGUUUGCUGAAUACUACUAAGUAGUUAAAAUUGUAUUUGAUUUGGGAUAAGAUUAGUCAGAAAUCCUUUACCAAUGAAGGCAUUCUAAUUAUAUUUUAAACCUUUAGUAACAGUUCUGCAAGUAAGUUACUCUUAGAAACUGUGAGAUGUUUAUCUUGUCUCUUAUUUUUCUUAAAAUGAAUGUUCAAAUGAUAGGACAUUGUCAAAGGAAGAGCAUAGUUAUACUUUAUCUUUUAACCCUAGUCAUUUGCUUAUACGUUGACAGGAAUUGAAUGGUAAUGGGAAAUUAUAUUGAUAGACAUUAGCAGUAUCUAAUAGACUCCUAUAGUAAUUUUGCCUGAUGAUAACAAUCUAAUAGCUAUGCUAUCUUAAAAAUACCUGUAUUUGUUUCAUGCACAUUUAACAAUAUUUAUUGUUAAAAUGAAUAUUCUCCAACAUACUAAAAAGCUCCAAGGCAGAGGUGUCAAACUCAUGUCGUCAUGGUAGCAUCACAUGAUGUGUCGUGACUUUUUUCCCCUUGGCUAAACUGGGUGGGCGUGGCCAGCACAUGACAUAUCAAGCCCGUGGGCUGUGAGUUUGACAGCUCUGCUCUGAGGUGUAUCAAUUGAUGGUUUUAUGUGAUAGAAAGUACUUUAGCAUAUUAGAGUAUCCUAAUUUUGAUCAAUUACAACCCCUUAAAACCACCAUUCCCUUCAAGUUUUUUGGUGAGCAGUGGCUGCGGGGGAGGCGGAGGUAAAUAGCUUUUUGGAACAAAAUGGUAUAUGGUAUAGAAAAUUCUAUUAGAUAGAAUUACAGGGGAAAACCCUCUACUUUACAGAAAUGGUUGAAUUUUCUUUGUACAAUUGUUCGUUUCUAAAAACUCAGAAAAGGCAUUAAUAACUGUCUGUUAGAAAAUUCAAUUCAAAUAAUAGAUGUAUCUAAAAUUAUUAAAACCAAAACAAAUAUAAACCAA